AGGACGAACGCUGGCGGCGUGCUUAACACAUGCAAGUCGAGCGGUAAGGCCUUUCGGGGUACACGAGCGGCGAACGGGUGAGUAACACGUGGGUGACCUGCCCUCCACUCUGGGAUAAGCCUUGGAAACGGGGUCUAAUACCGGAUAUGACCUUCCUCCGCAUGGGGGUGGGUGGAAAGCGUUUAGUGGUGGGGGAUGGACCCGCGGCCUAUCAGCUUGUUGGUGGGGUAGUGGCCUACCAAGGCGACGACGGGUAG
rnacentral:rRNA from 1 species